rnacentral:rRNA from 1 species
AUAAGGUUAAGUUAAUAAGGGCGCACGGUGGAUGCCUUGGCACUAGAAGCCGAUGAAGGACGUGACUAACAACGAAAUGCCUUGGGG